UACGGGGGGAGCAAGCGUUGUUCGGAUUUACUGGGCGUAAAGGGCGCGUAGGCGGCCACUGCAAGUCGGUUGUGAAAUCUCCGGGCUUAACCCGGAAAGGUCAAUCGAUACUGCAGGGCUAGAGUGCAGAAGGGGCAACUGGAAUUCUCGGUGUAGCGGUGAAAUGCGUAGAUAUCGAGAGGAACACCUGCGGCGAAGGCGGCUCACUGGCCCGGUACUGACGCUGAGGUGCGAAAGCGUGGGGAGCAAACAGG
rnacentral:rRNA from 1 species